CGAGACACCACAGUGUGUGUGUGUUGUUGUUUUUAAGCUAGCCGCUAACAAUGAUAGCAGAGUAACCUCGAGGCGAAACUCGGCGAACAAGAGGAGAAACAGUUACAAUGCCAACUACUGGACUGUUUCUGGCUCACGUUUGUACUACAUAGAGCAGUACUUCGAACUGAGAGUGCAAGAAUAACCUUUUUACCAGAGCCGGCGGCCACAUAUGAUCAGAUCAAGUCUUUGUCACAAGAUUUGGUGAAGCAGCAUGUGGCCCAUUUACCAAGGUUUCAGAAGCCUGAAGGUUUCAUGCUAACUGAUCACUGGUGUUUGGAAUGGUUCAUAAUUCCAUCCAUCUUGACUAAGGCCCCAGUUCCAGCAGAAGAAAAAACACCCCAAAGCAUGAUGCUGCCCCCACCAUGUUUCACUGGAGCCCAGACAUAUGAAGAAGACGGGAGAUUGUUGUCACAGGUACCAAACAACCACUAAUUGCCCAAAAUUUCUGCGGGUCCUCCCAUGUUGCCCUCACCUUGGCAGCCUCUCUGACCAGUUUUCUUUUCAUCUUCUCAUCAAUUUCGGAUGGACAUCCAAUUCUUGGUGAUGUGACAAUAUAUUUUCCCCACUUGAUGAUGGCUGUCUGCACUGUGUUCAAUGGUUUAUUUAAUGCCUUGGAAAAUCUUUGUUCUGUUCUCUUGACUGAUACUUUUAUCAUUCUGACGCUAUGGAAGCUCACUACAGACCGUGGGUUGUGCUGUAAAAUGUGAUGACAAGUGUCAGGAAAAGCCAACUCGAACAUCAGUACUUUAUUUUGGGGUUAAUCAGAGGCAUUUUAAAAGGUGGCAGGUGUGAGCUGACUGCCAUUUAACAUGAGUUUGAUACGAUUGGUUGAUUCUGAACACAGCCACAUCCCCAGUUACUAGAGGGUGUGCAUACGUGUGCAACCACAUUAUCUCAGUUAUAUAUUUUUACAGUAAUGGUGGAAUUUUAGAUAUAUAUUUUUUAAAUGAUUUAUCUUGGUCCUGUUUCGGUGUGUACAUUGUAUAUCUACUUUACAUCCACUGUGGUACACACACUUUUGAUUCAUCAUGGAGAUCUCAUCAAAAAAGAGUAUUAAAUAUCUGAAAGUGUAGAUUAUUUUGACUGAAACGAUUUUCCUUUAAUUCAGGGGUCACCAACAUGGUGCCCGAGGGUCUGCUCGACAACUAGCAGUGAUAGGACAUUGUGCUUUCCUUGAAAUGUUGUAAAAGUGAUCUUUUGAAAAUGUUAACACUUGCAGAAAUUUACAGAAAUAAAGUGUUGCAUAUUGAUAUUUAUCGGUUUCCUAUCCGUUGCUUUGUUUUACUUUGCUGUCUGCUGCCAGUUCGGCAUUGCAAAUGAGAAUCUGUUCUUAAUUGCCCUGGACAAAUAAACGUUAAAUUAUUAAAUAAAGGAAUUACCCAAGAGGGCGCUUUCAGUUUCAAGGGGAUGGUGACCCCUGCUUUAAAGUACUGUAUCUACCUUUAAUGGGCACUCAUUAAUUACAUCGAUAUUAUUUUAUAAUUGUAUUCAAUGUUUCCUCAUUUCCAUCCAUUUUCUAUACUGCUAAUUAUAUUUUCUUACAUUUAUAUAUCAAUUUAUAUUCUUCCACGCGGUCAAUAAAGUAUUUACUACCUACCUACCUACCUACCUACCUACAUUAUAUUUCCAGUAAGACUUUUGUGUUUAAAAAUGUUUUUCUUCUAUUUUCUUUUAUUUCAUUUUUAUUUUUUUUUUAUUCUUGUUAACUAUUUGUGAUUGUCCUCCCUGUG